UCUCGCAUUACCUGGUUAUUAUACAAGAACUCAAAGCAAUCUCAGCAUAUGGACACAUUGAUUUACAUGAACAUUUCUGAGCUAUUCCAUAGGACGAUGAUCAUGAUUCUAGGGCGGACCUGUGCCUUAGAGCCUAAAAAUGAAGUUUAAACUAGCUUAAUUAUGUUUUGAUUUCCGUACUCUAUUUCCAAGACAAUGUAACACCUUGUUUAUAAAUAAAAUACAACUUGUAU
rnacentral:lncRNA from 1 species